rnacentral:rRNA from 1 species
GUCUACGGACCAUGCCACCUUGUACAAGCCUUGAAUCCCAUCUGAUCUCAGAAAACUAAAGCAGGGUCGGGCCCUGCUUAGUAACUUUGAUGGGAGACCAACCUAGGAAGACCAGGUACUGUAGGCA